rnacentral:rRNA from 1 species
UUUGGCCCAGAUCGUUUACCGUGAAAAAAUUAGAGUGUUCAAAGCAGGCAGAUCCAAUUUUCUGCCACCGAAUACAUUAGCAUGGGAUAAUGGAAUAGGACCCUGUCCUCCUAUUUUCAGUUGGUUUUGGCAGCGCGAGGACUAGGGUAAUGAUUAAUAGGGAUAGUUGGGGGCAUUAAUAUUUAAUUGUCAGAGGUGAAAUUCUUGGAUUUAUGAAAGAUUAACUUCUGCGAAAGCAUCUGCCAAGGAUGUUUUCAUUAAUCAAGAACGAAAGUUAGGGGAUCGAAGACGAUCAGAUACCGUCGUAGUCUUAACCAUAAACGAUGCCGACCAGCGAUUAGGAGACGUUGAAUACAAAACACCACCAUCGGUGCGGUCGUCCUUGGCGUCUCGGUCCUUCACGGGGCCGGGGCGCGGGG